UACGGAAGGGGCAAGCGUUGUUCGGAAUCAUUGGGCGUAAAGAGCUCGUAGGCGGCUUGUCACGUCGAUUGUGAAAGCCCGAGGCUUAACCUCGGGUCUGCAGUCGAUACGGGGCUAGCUAGAGUGUGGUAGGGGAGAUCGGAAUUCCUGGUGUAGCGGUGAAAUGCGCAGAUAUCAGGAGGAACACCGGUGGCGAAGGCGGAUCUCUGGGCCAUUACUGACGCUGAGGAGCGAAAGCGUGGGGAGCGAACAGG
rnacentral:rRNA from 1 species